UUUUCGUUAUUUCCGUUAUUUCCUUUAUUUUUCUUGGGUGUAAUCUAAAUUUCUGCAGUAUGUUUCUGUCUCUCUGGUGGUUAGUUCCGUUAGUUCCGUCACUUCCGUUGUUUAUUUCCAUUAGUUCCGUAAUUUAUUUUUGUUAGUUCCGUUAUUUAUUUCCGUUAGUUCCGUUAUUUAUUUCUGUCAGGUCCGUUAUUUAUUUCCGUUAGUUCAGUUACUUAGUACCCUUAUUUAGUUCGGUUAUUAAGUUCCGUUAUUUUGUUCCGUUAUUUAGUUCCGUUAUUUAGUUAUUUCCGUUUUUUCCAUUGUUCUUUCCUUGUCAUCUAAGUUUCUGAAGUAUGUUUCUGUCUGUCUGGAUGUUAUUUCCGUUAUUUCCGUUAUUUCUGCUAUUUCUGUUUUUUCCGUUGUUCUUCCUGGCCUGUCAUCUAAGUUUCAGAUGUAUGUUUCUGUCUCCCUGGACUUUGUUUCCGUUAUUAUUUCUGUUAUUUUGGUUAUUAAUUAAGUUAUUUCUGUAAUUAUUUUUGUUAUUUCCGUUGUUCUUCUUGGCCUCUCGUGUAAGUUCCAGAUGUAUGAUUCUUUCUCUCGGGAGUUUGUUUCCGUUAUUAUUUCCGUAAUUUCCAUUAUUAAUUUUGUUAUUUUUGUAAUUAUUUUUAUUAUUUCCGUUGUUCUUCUUGGCCUGUCGUCUAAGUUUCUGCUGUAUAUUUCUGUCUCUCUGGUGUUUGUUUCCGUUGUUUCCGUUGUUUCCUUGGUGUUCGUUAUUUCCGCUGUUCUUCUUGGCCUGUCAUCUAACUUUCUGCUGUAUGUUUCUGUAUAUCUGGAGGUUAUUUCCGUUAUUUCCAUUAUUUAUUUCCGUUAUUUCUGUUAUUUAUUUUAGUUAUUCCCGUUAUUUAUUUCCGUUAUUUCCAUUAUUUACUUAUGUUAUUUCAGUUAUUUAUUUCCGUUAUUUCCGUUGUUCUUCUUGGUCUGUCAUCUAACUUCCUGCUGUAUGUUUCUGUCUCUCUGGAGGUUAUUUCCGUUGUUUCCGUUGUUUCCGUUCUUUCCGUUAUUUCUGUUAUUUCCAUUGUUCUUCUUGGCCUGUCAUCUAACUUUCUGCUGUAUGUUUCUUUCUUUCUCUCUGCAGUUUAUUUCCGUUAUUUCCAUUAUUUCUGUUAUUUUUGUUGUUCUUCUUGGCCUGUCAUCUAAAUUUCUGCUGUAUGUUUCUGUCUCUAUGGAGGCUGUUUCCGUUAUUUCCGUUAUUUCUUUUAUUUCCAUUGUUCUUCUUGGCCUGUCAUCUAAGUUUCUGCAGUAUUUUUAUGUCUCUCUGCAGCUUGUUUCCGUUGUUUCCAUUGUGUCUGUUAUUUCCGUUGUUCUUCUUGGCCUGUCAUCUAACUUUGUGCUGUAUGUUUCUGUCUCUCUGGAGGUUGUUUCCGAUAUUUCCAUUAUUUACUUUAUUUCCAAUAUUUCCAUUAUUUUCCAUAUUCUUCUUAGUCUGUCAUCUAAAAUUCUGGAGUGUGCUUCUGGAUCACUGGGUGUUAUUUCAGUUAUUUCUGUUAUUGCUGUUAUUUCUAUUUUUUCCAUUACUGUUCUUAGUUUGUCAUCUAAAAUGCUGGAGUGUGUAUUCGGCUCACUGGAUGUCAUUUCUGUUAUUUUUGUUAUUUCUGUUAUUUUCCUUAAUCGUUCACUUGAAAUUCUGGACUGUGUUUCCUGUUAAGUGCAAGUUCUUUAUUUCCGUUAUUUGCCUUACUUUCUUUUUUUGCGUUAUUUGCGAUAUUUUUGAUAUUUCUUUGAUUUCCGUAAUUUCAGAUUUUCUUCUUAGUUUGUCACCUAAAAUUCUUGAGUAUUUUUCUGGUUCACAGAAGGUUAUUUCCAGUAUUUCUGUUUUCUCCAUUACUUCCGUUACUUCCGUUAUUCUUCUGAAUUGCUGGAGUGUGUUUCCAGCACCCUGGAGGUUAUUUCCAUUAUAUCUGUUAUAGCCCUUAUUCUUCUUAGUCUGUCAUCUGAAAUGCUGAAUUUUUUUUCCGGCUCACUGGAGGUUUUUCAUUUCUGUUAUUUCUGUUAUUUUUCUUAGCCAGUCACCUGAUGUACUGCACUGCGUUUCCUACUCACUGGAGGUUAUUUCCGUUAUUUCCAUUAUUUUCGUUAUUUUUCUUAGCCAGUCACCUGAAGUACUGGACAUGCAUUUCUGGAUCACUGGUGGUUAUUUCUGAUUCUUCUGUUACUUUUGUUAUUCUUCCCAUUCUGUCAUCUAAAAUUCUGGAGCGUGUUUCUGGUCCACAGGAGGUUAUUUCCCUCAUUUCCCUCAUUUCCCUCAGAUUCCUCAUUUCCCUCAUUUCUCUCAUUUCCAUAAUUUCCGUUAUUCUUCUUUGUCUGUCCUCUAAAAUUCUGGAGUGUGUUUCCAUCUCACUGGAGGUUUUUCCAUCUUUUCCCUCUUUUCCCUCUUUUCCGUACUUCUUAGACUGUCAUCUGAAAUGCUCAAGUGUGUUUCUGCCUCACUGGUGGUUAUUUCCUUUAUUGCCAUUAUUUCCGUUACUGUUCUUAGUCUGUCAUCUGAAUUGCUGGAGUGUGUUUUUGGCUCACUGGAGGUUAUUCAUGUCUGCUAUUUCCGUUAUUUUUCUUAGCUGGUCACUUGAAGUACUGGACUGUAUUUCCUGCUCACUGGAGGUUAUUUUCAUUAUUUCCAUUAGUCUUCUUCGUCUGUCAUCUAAAAUUCUGGAGUGUGUUUCCAGCUCACUAGAUGUUAUUUCCGUUAUUUCUGUUAUUUUUCUUAGUUUGUCCUCUGAUACGCUGGAGUUUGUUUUCGGCUCACUGAAGGGUAUUUAUUUCCAUUAUAUCUGUUAUUUCCGUUAUUUCAGUUAUUUCUGUUAUUCUUCUUACUUGGUCAUCUGAAACGUUGGAUUAUUUUUCUGGCUCACCAGAGGUUAUUCAUGUCUGCUAUUUCCGUUAUUUUUCUUAGCCGGUCACCUGAAGUACUGGACUGCGUUUCCUGCUCACUGGAUGUUACUUCCGUUACUUCUGUUAUUCUUCUUAGUUUUUCAUCUGAAAUUCUGGACUGUGUUUCCUGCUCACUGGAGGUUACUUCCGUUACUUUCAUUACUUCCGUUAUUUUUCUCAGUCUGUUAUCUGAAUUGCUGUUGUGCGUUUCCAGCUCACUGGAGGUUAUUUCUGUUAUAUCCAUUAUUUGUG
ensembl:lncRNA